CCACUUCCCCAGUUCAAUCGGCUGGCCAACCAAAAGCCUCAUCCUCUCCCCAAUCCCGUGCCUCCCGUCCUCCCCCAAUCCCUGCCUCCUCCUCCUCUAGAGACGGCGGCGGCUCGGCCUGGCCAUGGAGAUGGAGCUCAGCGUGGUUGGAGGUGACAGCGGGUGCAGGCGCUGGACGAGCGUAUCCUAGAGGAGGGUGGCGGCGACCGGACGGAGCUAGAUCGGAUGUCCACGGUGGCGCGCCGCCUCUUCCCCGGGUCGCCAGACGGCCGAACGCUGCGACGACUAGACGCGGCGGAGGCUCGCCAGACGGCCGGAUGCGGCGGCGCAGCGGCUGGACGCUGCAGCGGUGGAGGCUCACCGGAGGUGGAUGGCCGGAAGGCCGGCAUGCUUAGGAGGCGCGGGUCAAGCGGCGGCAUGGCUGAUGUGGGGACCAUGGACGCCUUCACCGUUGUGCUGCUCGGGAGAAGCCUCUGCAACCCCGUCGGACAGUAGCGGCCGCCGGAAUUGAAGGGGGCGGCGGCGGCGGCGGCCAGAAAUGGACGUGGUGGCGGUGAGCAGAGCGGGAACGGGGCGGCGGCGCCUCGUCUCGGUGGCCCUGGGCGCUCAGGAGGAGCCCUCGAUCUGAGCUAGGAGGGACAAGAGCGGAUGAGGUGAAGUUGUAGGAGUAGCUCGGAUGGGGUGGGACUCAGCGUCGAAGCUUUCCUGGCUUCUUGCCGUUGUUGAACAUCUAGCGAUCCAUGUGUGCGUCGUCGCGUCCCUGAGCUGCUCACGGUGAAAUUUCUAGCGAUCCGUGUGUGCGCCGUCGGCCGCGUCCCUUAGCUGCUCACCGUGAAAUAUCCAUGGGAGAAUUCCCUGUGAAGCUAUUUGUCGGCAUUGAUUACGCAAUCCUUCUUGGAUAUAGGAUUGGUGGCUAGGAUACUAGACAGUAUAAUGAAGCUCUGCCUGCGAUUCUGUUAGAGUAUCGAGCAAUAUGUAACAGGCGCAAACAUGUUUGAGAUUGAUCACAUAACUGAGGAGUUCAACAAGAAAUCAAAUUCGAUGUACACUAUUCUAAGGAGUAGUCGACUUAUGGGAAGUCAGAGAGCACCUUCCCUAAGGCAGUUCUGAUGAGACUAAACUUCAACUGUUUCUUUGAGGUGAAGUGCCCUCUCCAGUUUUGAACGAGUAAGCUGUCCAUAGACAUUUUUCUUUUACUUGGGAAGGCUCCGGCCAAACACGGCAGGCUAGCAGCUAUAACCUGUUUUUGCGAAGGUUUACACAAAAAGCCUGCUGCUUGCGGGCAAUGGCGCUCACGCGUCACACAAGAAUGGGAGGAAGAAACUGUAGCCUCUGUAAAUUAUCUGUAGUCUGAAGUUGUUUGCCCUGAAAAGUGAACGCUAGGUAAAGUUCGCUUGUGCCAAUGGUUAUGUUUAUGGCUCCUCGUGCUUGUUCUUGAUCCUAGGUUUUGAUAGCGCGAGUUGUUUGCCCAGGAAAGCGCACAAGGCGAUGUUUGUUUCCGCUGAGCGCUGAUGAUGUGAUGUGCCCUGAUUGCCGACAUUUCCCAUGUUUUUUUUAAGCUGCACUGUGGGGUAAUCCAUCAUCAUGAUAUAAGUACUCCCACCAUUUCAGUUUGCUGAAUUUGGGGCUAGCUUAAAUAAGCUGAUGAUAUAUACCCUUGUUUUUUCUUCCAAGAGAAAGCCAUUGUAUUUAUAUAAACUAUUGCCGUGCCUAGAGUCUUGACAUUAGUUAAAAAUAUAACUCGGGCGUGAAUGAAAAACCAUAGUAUACAGCUUAUUGCUACAACUCGGUGAAAAAUUAUUUAUGUUUGUUUUAUAUUAACUGUUUGUAGAAUAUUUUUUUUCCACCUAUACAAUAAUGUAGCUGCUGUGCCAGAGUCCCUGGACCUUGAGGUUACAAACAUAUACCAUGAAAAUCAAUUGGUGGUUUGUUGUCAUUCCUCUGCUGAAAUUAACAUGUAACAGAGUAGUUCUCGUUUCUCUGCUGAAAUUAGUCUUGAAUAUAAUUAUAAAGGUAUCAACAAACUUUAUAUAUGUUACUGUUGCAUUGGAAAAUUUAUUUUGGGUGAAAACAAAAUGUUGUUUUGUUUUAUUUCCUAUGUAGUUGCAAUUAUCGGUAAAUGUUCAUGAAUUUGCCAACGCAAUUUGGUCCAAUUUGGUCUGAAGUCAGUGUUGCAAGAAAUAGCUCUUCCACUGUUACAUACCAGUCAAGUUGGAUGAUUUUAUAUUAUACAACACAAUUUUUAUUUUCUAUUGUGAUCUCUUUUUCGAUUUGAAAAAUUGAGGAGUAUCAUGGUUACUUUUUACAUUGCUUUUGGGAUUGGAACCUUUCACCCUGUGUAGAGCUAUCAGUGAAGGCAUGUAACUACAGAUAUUCCUCUAGGAAUUUCUUUUCAAACUGCAUAAUAUUUCCAUGUUCCCCUUCAUUGGGUGACCUAUCUAGGUGAGCAUCACUUGAUAGUGUUGAUGAACUUUUGUUACUUUACUCUAUAGUGGUGUUUCAUACUGCUCUUUCGAUAUGUUUCCUUUAUACUCAUAUAUGAGCUUUAUGAUGUGAUAUACACAUGUUUCUUCUCUGUUUCAGCGGUCCUUCACUGAUUACUUUGUUUUAUGAUUACCCGUGUUUUUUUGCGUGCAGAUGUGGUUGGUAUUUAGGGCACAUCAACAUGAAAAUAUAAGAUAUGAUAGAUUAGUGUAAUGCAAUUUUAGUGUGGUUCACCCUGGACAAUGAAGGAAAUUGAUAGACAAAUAUAUCCAUAAAGAUGCUUGUGGUUCACAAUUUAUUUCAGUGUACAAGAGGCGAUUUCUCUAUUCGGCAAACAUUAUUUAUUUUGUGUACUGUGAAUGCAACAAAUAGAUAGCUAUUGCCUUAGUUAUUAGAAUACCAUCUACUGUAGCACCAUGGGCCUUUGGUAUCUCCAGUUCACCUCUGCAGUGCAGUACCUCAGAAAGUAAAGGAUAUUUUCUAAAAUUCUCCUGAGAUCGUGUCUUGCAUUUCUAUCUACUUUCAGUUUCAUGAAAUGAUGUGCGCUGAAAAGAACACUUGUGCAGCAGCUCCGGCACUAGAACCAUGCUAUUAUGGUGGUUCAUCUUCGUCUUCCCUUUAUAUGUUUGUAUUCAUUUCUUGUAUGCACUGGCUUUGCGGUGAACUUUUUAAUCAAAAGGAUCACAUGCAACAGUUUUUCUAUCGUGCGAUCUUUUCAGCUUAAGCUCUUACCAAAUUAACAUCUUUAUGCUAUAGAUAUUGUCUACUGACCGUAUGUGAAGAUAGUGAGGAUUGCUAUUGGAGCAUGGAGACUGGUUAAUUACUUCAUAUAAAUGUUGAAACACUACCCGGCCAACCAGGCCAUCUGAGAGGGGCAAACGAAUCUGGAUCGCACGUUCAGCAGCCACAGUAAAUUCCAAUCCCGCUUUUCUUCACAGCCGUCGGAUGUGGUAAUUUUUUUUCCACCGGCCUCUGCUUGUUCUGAGUGCAUGACCACUCUUGGGACCGUGCGUGCGUGGGACCAUUUAUUUGAGAGAGUGCGGGUACGUGCUCGUGUCGCUUGAAAAAUGAAAACCAUGAAAACCCUAACUUUACCGAGAGCUUCCUCUCCCCAAUCCCGUGCCUCCCUCUCCUCGAUUUGUACUCUAUUUCGAUUUGAGAUGAAGAUUUUUAUCGGUGCUGCUGCUUCCGGGUUUGUGCAGGAUUGGAUACAACAUGGUCAUUUAUGUGGUGGAGAGGGAGUCUUGGAGGUCAUCGUCAACCAGAGAUUUCUAAUGUUCUUUCCUGAGGCAAAUGAGGUUACUAUUGCAAGACAUACAACCUUUGAGGAUGUUCAUGAAGGGGAUUAUCUAACAAAACCAUCCUUAUUCAAAGAUUCCGGUGUUACAACAAAGGUCAAAAUGCGGCCCACCUACAAUGUCAAUGGUGUGCUUUUCUGGUCUUUAGAGUUUAAUCUAUCCUCCCCUUAUUACGUUUUUCAGUCACAAUUCAGUUUGUUGCUAUAUUAUUGUGCCAUUGUUUAUAUUUGUAAGUGGAUGUAUCCCUUUGUUAGAGCUCAUGCUCCAUUGAUUACCUUUAAUGGGGAGCUAGAAACUCUUAUCUUGUAAUUCCAUGUUUGUAGAUUUGACAAUUGAUUAGACUUCUAUAUUUGGACGUUGCAAGAGGGAUUAUUUUCCUUUCGUAGUAUUGUUCGACUCAUAUCUUUUUAUUUUACAAGUUUCAGCAUUUUCUGCUUAAUCUUUGUCAUUUUUGGAUCUUGGUAAGGUUUGGAGCGUAUCAAACCUUUGCAUUUAUGGUAACCCUUUUAAUUACUAAAAAUAAUGGAGUUUUCCAUUCUGUGAGUUUCUAUUUUUAUUUCCCCGGAUGUUGAGUUAGUUUUGGUGAGGCCGGUUCAUGCCCGAUCCAUUGCCUCCUUCAUGCUCCAGACCAAGCUCUCCAUCAAGGUAUAUAAAAUAUCCCUCUUGAGAAUACUAUAGUGAGUUUGGGAUUGGUUAGUAAUGUAUUGAAAUACAGCCAACCUGUUUUUAUUAUGGUGGCUUUACUAUUUCACACUGUAAUAUUUAUCCCUCAUUUUUGUCGUGCUGCAAUGUUUUUAAAAUCUUCAUUAUGCGUGAUCACAAGUGAUCAUAUUUCUUAUAAAUUAAACUAUUGCCAGGCGUGUCCUACAUCCUGAUACUUAUGCAUAUAAUGGGAAGUUCAUUGCUGCUGGGCUGUGAUGUCUUUAUAAUUCCUGAACUGUGCCCUAUUUUUCUCACCCACAGCCAAGUGGCGGGUGAAGCUGGAGCCAGAGCGCGCGCCAAGUGACGGCGACAGCCGGAUGCGGCAGCGGUGGUAGGCAGCAUGCGCCAAGUGACGGUGCAGGUGGAUGCCGCAGCAGCGGCUCCCCCUCCCCCUUCUCUUCAUCUCUCUAAUGGGUUACUGAAGCCAAAUCAAUCAUGUAGUUGCCCAGUUCGAUGGAGGAUGAGCUAGAAACAGAAAACACUGUAAGACUGAUGCCUCUGGUCUGUGCCUGCUGCUAAUGUAAUAACACGGGAAAAUCUGCAGAAGGAAACUCCAGACAUGUCUUCAUCCUUAAAAGGUGUCCAUAAGGUAAAAUUUCUGAUCUAUUCACAGAUUUGUUAUCCGGUUCUCAUAUGCAAAUGACCACCUUCUAAAACAGUGGGAAAAUUCAGAAUUCUAUUGAGAAUGCAUGUAGCGCUAUUUGUGCAACUGCAACCUAUGCAAAUACCAUUCAAGGUCCCUACAGCUUUACUAAAGAAGAUGACACGAAAGAGUAUGUCUUUUUAUACCAUUCAACAUUUAUUUUGGCUAGCUCUUUUGGUCACUAUUUUAUAUACCAUUCACUGCUACCUUUUUUUCAAAAGGAAAUCUUUCGGUUCCAUCACCUAGCCGAGAACAUGCCGCGAUUAGCCGUUAAAAACGCAGGCUGAUCGUUGAUUCGGAAAGUUCUUGAUGUACAGGUUCAGAUUUCAUUUGCUUUGGUUUAUUCUUUGGUGGCCUAGGUGACCUGACGAUGUUUCAUAUUUUUGCCAUUUUAGUUUCUUCCUCUCUUUGAAUACUUGAUAUUUUUGCACAAAGUAUUUUCUGAAUUUUGGAAGCCAACACAUCCUAUAUCCUAUAUGUGUUUCUUUUGUCCUAUGUUGAAGAUUGUACCACUCAAACUUUUCUUCAGUUUUCCUGUUAAAGUUUUAUUAUUAAUAUGUCGAGGCAAAAAUUGUUAGUCCAUAUAUCAUGCAUUCUUCCUUGGUAACAUAUUUUCUUAUGUUCGUAGCAUAAUUUGUUGAAGAACGGGUGCAACUUAUGUCUAUAAUCAGUAGAAAUAUAGUGCCAGCUAAGACUUCAGUGGUAGAAUUGUAGUUCUAAUAUCUUGGGUGAGCAAAUGUGAAUUCCUUCUAAUAUUUUCCCGAAUUGAGAAGUGAACCUUGUUAAUAAAUUUCAUGUACAUAUGCUUUCUGUGUGUGUCAUGUGUACAUAUGCUUUGUGUGUAGAAUUGCAUGUCUAAUAUAUUGACAUAUUUCCAUGCCCUCUCAUCCUCCAAAUCAACAGGUCUUAUCAGGUGAUAAUUAGGUGUGUAAGGAUGUCUCAGCAUAUCUCUUGUCCUCCUCUUUGACCUUGGGUGAGCUCAGCCUUGGCCGAGCUGAUACUGUCACCAGCACAGGGUGGCGUGUGCUUGAGAUUCCACUCGAGAUCGACCGGAUUUUGUAGUCAGUCGAGUUGUAGUGUUCAGUAAUCAGAACUUGUCAGGUCGUUAAAUUUCAGAGAUGUAAACUGGUAUGAGUUUCAGAAUUAUAUGGCCAUAUCCACUGUAAAUUUAUCCCAAAGCUGCUAAUGUAUGAGUUUCAGCGCUGCAAAUGUAUGAGUUUUGUGCACUAUCCAGUCAUCUACUACAAUGCCCAAGCUUGUACAUUGUAGUUUGAAGUUUUUGUGUAUUUCUUAAUCGACUUGCUAGAUGGAAUGGUGUUCAGUUAGAGAAGAUGGAUGCUUGCUUGGUAGCCUAUCAUAUGUACUGUCCCUUUCGAUUUUGCUUGUAGAUCUUCAGAUAGUAUUUUUGCUGGCAAACCUUCUAUAAACAAGAUGGUAUAUGCCCUUGCCAUGCUCUAUAAAGAAAAGGGAUUCCAUGUGUUUGUGCAUG